UAUGGACACACAAGAGCCAGAAGCAGAAGAAAAUGUUUGAAUCACUUUGGGCCAGCUUAUGAUAUACACACCCACACAGACAGCCCCAUGCAAACAUAUUCUCUGGCAAAACACACACUAACAGUUUAAAAUGGUCAGAUAUUUAUCAAUAUCUUGUUAAAAACAUUUAAUGUUUUUAAUUCUAAAGGUUUUGCGUGAUAGUCCUGUGUCCAACAACACAAAAGUUGUCAUUACCCACCAUGUCUUUAACUGGGGGAAAAAAUGUAUUUUAAAAAUAUUUUAGCACAUAACCGCCUAGCUAAACACACUGAGCGCUGCCAGUGCAGGGUAUCAAUUCCACUCACUUGUAUUAUGCUGAAAAAACUCGUAGACAGAGCUACCUCACAAACCUGACAUACCUCACAGGAUUACUUUACACGUAAAGAUUUCUUGAUUUCUUGACAUAAUACACCCUAGACAACUUCCCAGGGGCCCCAGACCCCCCAAGGACCCAAAAGGCCAUGACCUAUGCAGCAGGUCCUUUGUGGUAAUUUGAUUAAUUGAAAUUAUUUUUGGUAAUAUGCACAAUAAAAACUGAAAUGGUAAGGGCAUACUUUCUGCAUGUUUACCUUUUCUUGACCUUAAGGCCCUGUCGUGUAGAAGUGCCCUGUAUCAAAAUGUUGUUUUAGCAUCUUAAAUAUUUCAGUUAAUACUAUGCCUACAUAAUGCAUAUUGUUGCAGUAUAUAAUGAAUUUUCUUUCAAUCACCUUUUAACCAAAGUAACUUAAGGCCCACAGCUCCUGUUGGCCCUGGGGCCAAUUAUGAGAUACAGUGGCUAAUGGGUGGUUUCAUAUGUAACUUCUUAUACAUACUUAUAUCUUGUCUUUCUUUUUAGCAUAAAAUUACCGUUAUUUUGUUUUAUUUUUUAGCAUUUGCAUGCAACUCUGCCUCUGAUUGGUUUACAGACUUUACUGGUGACAUCAGUUGGAAACAGAGAUGUUUUUUUAAGAUGUUUUAUAUAUCAAGCAAUGCUAAAAAGAUAGCUUUUUCAGAUUUGUUGUUGUAUGGUUUUGUGAUAACAUACUUAAUUUAUAAAAUACAAUAUAUCACAGUUCAUCAGGGAUACAACCAUAAAGUCCUGCACUUAUUUCCACUGUAGUCCCUGGUGUUUUCAAUCCAAGAUGGAGACAGUUAUUCAGUGUUAGACACAAGAAAUAAUGGAACUAGACUGGAAAUGUUAAUUAUAUAAGCAAACAAUCUAUUCAAGACACAGAAGACAAGGAAGGCAGCUGAACUUGUAAACUGAUUUUCAUAUUAGCAUUAAGUUCACAUGUAUAACCGCUGACACGUACCUGCACUACACAGACAACAGUCCCUCCCGUCAUGCUUGUAGGUGUCCUCUAGGUUACAUUGGCUUUCUUUCUCUUCCGUUUGGGAGGAGGCGGAAGAAAA